UACGGAGGGGGCUAGCGUUGUUCAGAAUUACUGGGCGUAAAGCGCGCGUAGGCGGCUUUGUAAGUCAGAGGUGAAAGCCCGGAGCUCAACUUCGGAAUAGCCUUUGAGACUGCAUCGCUUGAAUCCGGGAGAGGUGAGUGGAAUUCCGAGUGUAGAGGUGAAAUUCGUAGAUAUUCGGAAGAACACCAGUGGCGAAGGCGGCUCACUGGACCGGCAUUGACGCUGAGGUGCGAAAGCGUGGGGAGCAAACAGG
rnacentral:rRNA from 1 species